rnacentral:rRNA from 1 species
CCUACGGGUGGCAGCAGUGAGGAAUAUUGGUCAAUGGACGAGAGUCUGAACCAGCCAAGUAGCGUGAAGGAUGACUGCCCUAUGGGUUGUAAACUUCUUUUAUAUGGGAAUAAAAUGUUACACGUGUGGGAUGUUGUAUGUACCAUAUGAAUAAGGAUCGGCUAACUCCGUGCCAGCAGCCGCGGUAAUACGGAGGAUCCGAGCGUUAUCCGGAUUGAUGGGGUUUAAAGGGAGCGUAGGUGGAUUGGUAAGUCAGUUGUGAAAGUUUGCGGCUCAACCGUAAAAUUGCAGUUGAAACUGGCAGUCUUGAGUACAGUAGUGGUGGGCGGAAUUCGUGUUGUAGCGGUUCACUGCUUAGAUCUCCCG